AGAGUUUGAUCAUGGCUCAGAACGAACGCUGGCGGCGUGGAUAAGACAUGCAAGUCGAACGCUGAUUUGUGGGUAGCAAUAUUCGCAAGUCGGAGUGGCGCAAGGGUGCGUAACACGUGGGCAAUCUACCGUGAAGACCGGAAUAACCUGCUGAAAGGCGAGCUAAUACCGGAUGUGAUAGUCGGGAGGCAUCUCCUGAUUCUCAAAGUUGGGGACCGUAAGGCCUGACACUUCAUGAUGAGCCCGCGGCCUAUCAGCUAGUUGGUAAGGUAACGGCUUACCAAGGCUAAGACGGGUAGCUGGUCUGAGAGGACGACCAGCCUCACUGGAACUGAGACACGGUCCAGACACCUACGGGUGGCGGCAGUCGAGAAUUUUUCUCAAUGGGCGAAAGCCUGAAGGAGCGACGCCGCGUGGGGGAUGAAUGGCUUCGGCCCGUAAACCCCUGUCAUUUGCGAACAAACCUGUUCACUUAACACGUGAACAGCUGAUAGUAGCGAAAGAGGAAGGGACGGCUAACUCUGUGCCAGCAGCCGCGGUAAUACAGAGGUCCCAAGCGUUGUUCGGAUUCACUGGGCGUAAAGGGUGCGUAGGUGGUGAGGUAAGUCUUAUGUGAAAGCUCGGAGCUUAACUCCGAAAUGGCAUAGGAAACUACCUUGCUGGAGGGUUGGAGGGGGGACUGGAAUACUUGGUGUAGCAGUGAAAUGCGUAGAUAUCAAGUGGAACACCAGUGGCGAAGGCGAGUCCCUGGACAACUCCUGACACUGAGGCACGAAAGCUAGGGGAGCAAACGGGAUUAGAUACCCUAGUAGUCC
rnacentral:rRNA from 1 species